GGAGAAUGCGCGGGUCGAGUGCUGUAGUUCGAUUUUUGCGUGUGUGCGUCGCCUGCGGCCUUUGUGCCUUUUUAUUGUUUGCUUACCUUUAUGAUAUAAAGACCUUAUUUCUUACAAGGAGGAAAAGACCGCUGACUUCAGAAACAGCGAGAACCCCAGCUCGUCCCCGGUAAUUCAAUAGGAAAUGCUUGAGCAAUUACUGAUGUUGUAAACUGGGAUCAGAAGACAUACAUGGUAUCGUAUCCCAGGCCAGGCACAGUGGCUCACACCUGUAAUCCCAGCACUUUGGGAGGCUGAAGAAGGUAGAUCACUUGAGGUCAGGAGUUCGAGACCAGCCUGGCUUACAUGGUGAAACCCAUCUCUACUAAACAUACAAAAAUUAGCUGGACAUGGUGGUUAGCUGCACCUCUACUCCACGUGGUCCUCCCUCCAGGUCCCAGGCUGAUGGAGCAGCCUCUGUGUGUUUGGGAUGUUGUCACUCAUAAUGGUGGACACAAAAGAGAUUAUGACAAACCGUGUAUUGUCUCCUACAAUUUCUGCUCACAGAAGUGGACAACAUCACUUCUUUCCACAUUUCAUUGACCAGAGCAAGUCAUGUGACCAAGCCUGAUUCAAAAUAGGCUGGAGCAAGGAGGAGCAGCAAACAUAACAUUCCCAGUUUACAGCUGAGGAAAUUAAGCUUCAAGUUGCCCAAGUUUAUAGAAUGAGUCAAUGGCAGAGGUUGAACUCAGAUGACAAAGUUGGGGUCUGGACGUGUGCAAGGACUUUUCCAAAGUCAGCUGGAAAGGAGCUGCUUAGCUGAGAGGUUCUGGCUCCAAAGUCUCCUGUGAAGUUGCAGUCAAGAUGUCUGCUGGGACCCCAGUCAUUUGAAGCCCUGUCUGGGGCAGGAGAAUCUAGGUCCAAAAUGGCCGUUGCAGGAGUCCUCAUCCACACCAUGUGGAGCCUCUUCAUAGAUGUUCGAGUGUCCUCAUGGUAUGGCCACUGGCUUUCCCCAAAGUAAGCAGUCCAAAAGAGGGUAAGACAGAGCCCACCCUGUCUUUUAUGAAUUAGCCUUGGAAGUGUAACACAGUUACUUCCACCACAUUCAUUAGUCGUUAGGUACAGCUCCCAUUCAUGGGGAGGAAAAUCAGGGCCUGUCUUUAGAUAGGAGAUGUAUCAAAGAAUUUGUGGACAUAUUUUAAAAUCACAGCACUAGUCUUGAUGUACUAAGUCAGUGACUCCCCCAGGAGUCUCACAGAGAAUUGACUCCUUGCCCAACUAUACUACCUUUGUGGGUAGAGACUCCAGUAGUGUGCUGGUUAAUGUUCAACCAGUGGCUUUCUGGAAAACAAAAUGUAUGGAUACAUAUAUGUGUUCUAAGUUUUACUGAUAUGAAGAAUGUGUAGCACAGAAUUUAUAAAUAAUAAAAUAUACAGUAUUAUUUAUUGUAAAUUCCAUAAAACCUAUUGUUUUUCACAAAAGGUUUUAGUUUAUUUUUCCCAAAUGCUUGUAUUGGUAACAUUUUCUGUAUUACUUUUUUAUGUCCAGACAAUCAACAAAACUGAAAAAGCCCAGCCUUGUAGCAUUUGCCAGUUAUUGUGUAAAUGUCCCCACCAUGGUGGAUUUCAAGUUACCACUAUGAUAUCACAGAAUGCAGAAUUGGAAGGAGAUUCACAGCAGCACCCCAUUAUACUAUAUUUUCACCACACAGAUGCAGUCGAUGUAAAUUACCUGAGGAGCAUAAAUAAUAAUAAAAUGAAGUUAAAUAAUUAGGAAA
rnacentral:antisense_RNA from 1 species